UUCAUUUGAAUCUCCUAAUUAUACAAUAUUUUUAGCGUACAUCUAGGUAAAAUAAAUUUCAUAUAUGGUCAGGUAACGACUAUGAGUUUUUUUCCACCAAAGUAACUUAACUAUGUUUUCUAAACAUAAAUUUGUCCUUACUAACCCAUUGUCCCUCUUGGCUCUUGCUGCAGUUAUACUCACAAUACUAUCAUCUGAGGAGUACAAUUUUGCAAGCCCAAAGUCAGAUAGUUUGGGAUUGAGAUUUUAAUAAAGAAGAAUGUUGUGAGGCUUAAUAUCAAAAUGUAAGAUCUGCAUGUUGCAGCCCUGAUAUAGAUAGUAUUGUCCCUUGAAAGACCCUGAGACAACGAGGCCAAGGCCAUCAUUUCAACGCUGCAAUUCUCAGCCAAAUCCGAAAUUAACAUGUCCCGUCCAAUGGCAAUAUAGCUAUGACUUUGUAAAGAAUUCGAGAAAGGAGUCUUGUGUUGUGAAUCACAGAAGGUACGUAAGCAAUUGCUAUAGAUAAUGGAAACAAAAGGAUCAUGAUAUUCAACAGUUGUGAUAGUACCAGAAGUUGACUUCAGAUAAUGAUACUUAGGAGUUAAAGCUCUACCAAAUAUUGAGGUGAUAAUAGAUGUGUUAAAAGUAAUCAGGAGGACAAGUUUAGUUCCUCGUCUGAUGCUCCAAACCAGGGUCAUGACAACUGAUUUCUAGCACGCAAUAUCUUCUUGAAUUCAAACUUAUGACAGUACGAUUUUUAUGGCAAUCAAGCUCAUACUCGGAAACUCCACAAUUCAGGGGAUCUGCUUUCAAUCUAAAAGGGAAGUGAAUGUCAUGAAUAUCACCACAAGAAUUUGAGCUUCGCCAAUAGUUGUGCAGACAACAAGAAUAGAAAUCCAUAUUUGUCUUGCCAACAUCAUAUCUGCAAUUCUUGAAUCAAUAUUUGAACAUUUAGCAAGGCAAAUGUCAACUGUCUAAUUAUCCAAAGUUGAUGUUUGAUCUGGUCAUAACAGCCGGAUGAAUGAUGAAAGUCAGAAGUCAGCUCUAUAUAAUUAAUUACCCAAUGGUAUGCCUUUUAUGUUGUUCUAUUUGCUCAGACAGGCAUUAAAUUAUAUCAGGAUAAUCCUUUGCAAAGAAAUACACUUCAAUUUAAUUGAGUUUAAGGCCUCAAUUGAGCGAAGGAAAUACCUUUCAAAAGAAAACUUUAUGCCAUUUCUGUGGUAGUUUAAUCGUCAACCAUUCAUCUGUCAGAGAACCUGGGAUGAUCACUAAGAUCUAACAUGCAAACAUCAGGAGCUUUAAGUUGCUUGGCUUCU
rnacentral:lncRNA from 1 species